AGAAGCUUAGGGUUAGGGCUAGGGCUGGGCUCAGUGGUAGAGCGCUUGCCUAGCACAUGUGAUGCACUGGGUUCAAUUCUCAGCACCACACUAAAAAAAUUAGGAAAUAAAAUAAAAGUAUUGUGGCACUUGACCACUGAGCCACAUCCCCAGCCCUAUUUUGUACUGUAUUUAGAGACGUCUCACUGAGUUGUUCAGCGCCUGGCUUUUGCUGAGGCUGGCUUGGAACUUGAGAUCCUCCUGCCUCAGCCUCCCGAGCUGCUGGGAUCACAGGUGUGCGCCACGGGCUUAAACGAUUUUUUAAAAGGAAAACUAAGCAUUUUGAAGGUCAGGGGUGGAGAUUCGGUGACCUGUUUUCUUCGGCCUGAGCUCCUCAUAGUUCUGCCUCGACUGUUGCCCCCGGAGCUGCGGCCGGCCAGCGCCUUGCAGGGCCAGCACUCGCCCAUCUUGGCGUCUCCGGUUCUGACCGCCCUGUGCGCUGUGAGCAGGUCCCUGAGGUCUCUGAGCCAGCAAAGGAGGCUGCGUCGGGCCCUGUGCAGUGCGAAGGCGUGGGGCAGACACACCUGGGCUCAGAGCCGCACCCUGCAGGUGCCGGGGGUUCUCAUCCUAAAUCCAGCCCGGAUUAAAGACCCCGUCCGUCCCCGGCGGAGCUGGCCAGCUUCUCCCGCAGCCUGCAGCACAGCCUCAGCGGCCCGCCGGGCGCUGCUGAUCUCCCGCUCUAGCUCAGAGGACCAGAGAGGAAACAGGUCCUAACAAAGGUAAGGCCCACACCUGCUGGUGGACCUAGGCCGUGCAGCUGCUGAGGGGAGCAGUUCAGGGGCUCCCCAGAAGCUGGCUGCCAAGUCACCGACGGCCCAGCAGCUCCACCCCAAGCUGCCGGGAGAGAACUGGGGACAGGGAGGCCCACCUGGCCGGACACGCGCAGCUGCUCUGUCCCCCGCAGCCCUGUGGAAGCAGGCUGGGUGCCACCCAGUGGUAGGGUACCUGGUCCCCAGGAAGCCCGAGGCUCCGUCCCCAGCACCGUCCCAGACUCCAGGGAUGGAGGAGCCGGUGGACAGGCGGCCCCCUGUACGGUGGACGUUAUUCAGCUGGAGACAGAGACGAAACCCUGGCACCUGCUGCAGCACAGGUGGCCUCCCAAGGUCUGGUUAGCACGAGACGGCCUUGGUCACGACUGUUCCUGUGGCACCUACAGAGCAGGUCCCAGGAGACAGGCUAGAUUCUGGCUGCAGGAGCCGGGAGGAGGACUGGGUGACUCCUUCCUGGGUGCCGGGUCUCCUUUUGGGGGAGAUGCCGUAUUUUGAAACGGAAUAGAUCUGGCAGUCAAAACGCUGUCCAUGGACUAAGGGAGGCCGUGUGGUGCACUGUAAAGCGGUGAAUUUUGUUUUGUGAGUCUCGCCUCAGUUUUUGUUGCGCUUGGGAGUGAAACCAGGGGAGCUCUACCACUGGACCGCACCCCAACACUUUUUAUGUAUUUUGAAACAGGGCCUCGCUAAGUUGCUGAGAUUGGCCUCAAACUUGUGAUCCUCCUGCCUUAGCCUCCAGGGUACUGGAAUGAUAGGUUUUUACCUCCACGCUUGGGCUGAGUACAUAUAUUUUUUAAAAAUUAUGCCAGCGUAUGUGUAACAAGCUACAGUAGUGUAAGCAUAGGGAUGGGGUUGGGGCUCAGUGGCUGAUCUUGAUUUAUUUUAUGUGGUGCUGAGGAUCCAACCCAGUGCCUCACACAUGCUAGGUUGGAUCCUCAGCUGCCGCAGUCUAGCUGCAGCAAAGUAACGGGGGGGGGGGGGGGUGACGAGCAGAGCAACUUGUGUAGAUUGAUACAGCAGGAGUGGGAGCCCUUUAUUGUAGGACAGGAGGGGUAUAUAUACAUUCCACACAGCUUAUCUUAAUUAACAUAAACUAGAUACAGCAUUCAACCAAUAAGGAAUCUCCACACUUAAUGGCUCGCUGGUGUUACUUCACAAACCAUUCCCCCUGGCAAAAUGCCAGGCGCCAUCCUGACUUGGCAUUGUCUGUUUACAGACCCUAUCACUCAGCACCACAUAAAAAUAAAAUAAAAGGUAUUGUGUGCACCUACAACUAAAAAAAUAAAUGUUAACAAAAAUAGUGGGAUGGGGCUGUAGCUCAGCAGUAGCACACUUGCCUGGCUUGUGGGAGGCACUGGGUUCGAUUCUCA
rnacentral:lncRNA from 1 species